AUUGAACGCUGGCGGCAGGCCUAACACAUGCAAGUCGAGCGGAUGAAGGGAGCUUGCUCCUGGAUUCAGCGGCGGACGGGUGUGUAAUGCCUAGGAAUCUGCCUGGUAGUGGGGGAUAACGUCCGGAAACGGGCGCUACUACCGCAUACGUCCUGAGGGAGAAAGUGGGGGAUCUUCGGACCUCACGCUAUCAGAUGAGCCUCGGUCGGAUUCGCUAGUUGGUGGGGUAAAGGCCUACCAAGGCGACGAUCCGUAACUGGUCUGAGAGGAUGAUAAGUCACACUGGAACUGAGACACGGUCCAGACUCCUACGAGACGCAGCAGUGGGGAAUAUUGGACAAUGGUGGAAAGCCUUAUACAACCAGGGCGAGUGUGAUGAAGAGGUCUACGGUUUGUAAAGCACUUUAAGUGGGUAGGAAGGGCAGUAAGUAAAUACCUAGCUGUUUUGACGUUACCAACAGAAUAAGCACCGGCUAACUACGUG
rnacentral:rRNA from 1 species